rnacentral:rRNA from 1 species
GACGAACGCUGGCGGCGUGCCUAAUACAUGCAAGUCGAACGCUUCUUUCCUCCCGAGUGCUUGCACUCAAUUGGAAAGAGGAGUGGCGGACGGGUGAGUAACACGUGGGUAACCUACCCAUCAGAGGGGGAUAACACUUGGAAACAGGUGCUAAUACCGCAUAACAGUUUAUGCCGCAUGGCAUAAGAGUGAAAGGCGCUUUCGGGUGUCGCUGAUGGAUGGACCCGCGGUGCAUUAGCUAGUUGGUGAGGUAACGGCUCACCAAGGCCACGAUGCAUAGCCGACCUGAGAGGGUGAUCGGCCACACUGGGACUGAGACACGGCCCAGACUCCUACGGGAGGCAGCAGUAGGGAAUCUUCGGCAAUGGACGAAAGUCUGACCGAGCAACGCCGCGUGAGUGAAGAAGGUUUUCGGAUCGUAAAACUCUGUUGUUAGAGAAGAACAAGGGCGUUAGUAACUGAACGUCCCCUGACGGUAUCUAACCAGAAAGCCACGGCUAACUACGUG